rnacentral:rRNA from 1 species
GAUGAACGCUAGCGGCAGGCCUAACACAUGCAAGUCGAGGGGCAGCAUAAAGAUAGCUUGCUAUCUUGGUGGCGACCGGCGCACGGGUGCGUAACGCGUAUGCAACCUACCCUGUACUGAGGGAUAGCCCGGAGAAGUUCGGAUUAAUACCUCAUAGUAUUAUUUGAUGGCAUCAUUAGAUAAUUAAAGGUUACGGUACAGGAUGGGCAUGCGUCCUAUUAGCUAGAUGGUAAGGUGACGGCUUACCAUGGCUACGAUAGGUAGGGGGCCUGGGAGGGUUGUCCCCCACACUGGUACUGAGACACGGACCAGACUCCUACGGGAGGCAGCAGUGAGGAAUAUUGGUCAAUGGGCGCAAGCCUGAACCAGCCAUGCCGCGUGAAGGAUGAAGGAUCUAUGGUCUGUAAACUUCUUUUAUUUGGGAAUAAACUCUCGGACGUGUCCGAGCCUGAAGGUACCAAAUGAAUAAGCACCGGCUAACUCCGUGCCAGCCGCCGCAGUAACAC